CACGUAGGGGGCGAGCGUUGUCCGGAUUUAUUGGGCGUAAAGAGCUCGUAGGCGGUUUGUCGCGUCUGCUGUGAAAACUGGAGGCUCAACCUCCAGCCUGCAGUGGGUACGGGCAAACUAGAGUGCGGUAGGGGAGAUUGGAAUUCCUGGUGUAGCGGUGGAAUGCGUAGAGAUCCGGAAGAACACCGGUGGCGAAGGCGGCAUCCUGGACCGAGAUCGACGCUGAGGCGCGAAAGCUAGGGGAGCAAACGGG
rnacentral:rRNA from 1 species